rnacentral:rRNA from 1 species
GAUCCUGGCUCAGGACGAACGCUGGCGGCGUGCUUAACACAUGCAAGUCGAACGAAGAUACCGAGUGCUUGCACUUGGUAGACUGAGUGGCGGACGGGUGAGUAACGCGUGAGCAACCUGCCCAUAAGAGGGGGACAACAGCUGGAAACGGCUGCUAAUACCGCAUAAGACCACACUAGCACAUGCUAGAGGGGUAAAAGAUUUAUCGCUUAUGGAUGGGCUCGCGUCCCAUUAG